rnacentral:rRNA from 1 species
GAUCGCGGCUAUCAUGCAAGUCGGACGGGAUCCAUCGGUAGCUUGCUACCGAUGGUGAGAGUGGCGCACGGGUGCGUAACGCGUGAGCAACCUGCCCAUAUCAGGGGGAUAGCCCGGAGAAAUCCGGAUUAACACCGCAUGACACUGCUUUCCGGCAUCGGGAGGCGGUCAAAUAUUCAUAGGAUAUGGAUGGGCUCGCGUGACAUUAGCUAGUUGGUGGGGUAACGGCCCACCAAGGCGACGAUGUCUAGGGGCUCUGAGAGGAGAAUCCCCCACACUGGUACUGAGACACGGACCAGACUCCUACGGGAGGCAGCAGUAAGGAAUAUUGGUCAAUGGGGGCAACCCUGAACCAGCCAUGCCGCGUGCAGGACGACUGCCCUAUGGGUUGUAAACUGCUUUUGUUAGGGAAUAAACCCCGCUACGUGUAGCGGGCUGAAUGUACCUAAAGAAUAAGGAUCGGCUAACUCCGUGCCAGCAGCCGCGGUAAUACGGAGGAUCCGAGCGUUAUCCGGAUUUAUUGGGUUUAAAGGGUGCGUAGGCGGCACUUUAAGUCAGGGGUGAAAGACGGCAGCUCAACUGUCGCAGUGCCCUUGAUACUGAAGUGCUUGAAUGCGGUUGAAGACGGCGGAAUGAGACAAGUAGCGGUGAAAUGCAUAGAUAUGUCUCAGAACACCGAUUGCGAAGGCAGCUGUCUAAGCCGUUAUUGACGCUGAUGCACGAAAGCGUGGGGAUCGAACAGGAUUAGAUACCCUGGUAGUCCACGCCCUAAACGAUGAUGACUCGAUGUUUGCGAUAUACCGUAAGCGUCCAAGCGAAAGCGUUAAGUCAUCCACCUGGGGAGUACGCCCGCAAGGGUGAAACUCAAAGGAAUUGACGGGGGCCCGCACAAGCGGAGGAGCAUGUGGUUUAAUUCGAUGAUACGCGAGGAACCUUACCC